CCUACGGGUGGCAGCAGUGGGGGAUAUUGCACAAUGGGGGAAACCCUGAUGCAGCGACGCCGCGUGGGCGAAGAAGUAUUUCGGUAUGUAAAGCCCUAUCAGCCGGGAAGAAGAAAUGACGGUACCUGAGUAAGCAGCACCGGCUAAAUACGUGCCAGCAGCCGCGGUAAUACGUAUGGUGCAGGCGUUAUCCGGAUUUACUGGGGGUAAAGGGAGCGCAGGCGGCACGGCAAGCCUGAUGUGAAAGCCCGGGGCCCAACCGGGGGACUGCAUUGGGAACUACCGGGCUGGAGUGCCGGAGAGGUAGGCGGAAUUCCUAGUGUAGCGGUGAAAUGCGUAGAUAUUAGGAGGAACACCAGUGGCGAAGGCGGCCUACUGGACGGUGACUGACGCUGAGGCUCGAAAGCGUGGGGAGCAAACAGGAUUAGAUACCCUGGUAGUC
rnacentral:rRNA from 1 species